ACACAUCUAUGAAGUUAUGUUCUUUGACAUACGGAAAACAAACCAAUUCUAAGUAGCUUGUGAAUUCACUGAAGGUGGCUGUAAAACAGUAUACAGCCUCCUUUAGAAAAGGGGAAUGGGCAGUGUAAAUCUCACCAUCAGGACUGACUUAAGCUCCUAGGUUAUCAGCAUGAGAACUGCCCAGCUGGUGCAGUAAAGGAAGGAAAAGCUAGAAGAUUGGAAGAAGGACUCAACUGCUCAUUUUUCAGUGCAGGUUUCUGUAAUCUUGUACAGGUACUUGUUACUCCACAUUUCAUAUAUUUAAGAUGAGGGAGUGGUGUGUAAGAAUAUUUAUAUGGGGUAAUUGUGGUGGAUAAAAAAAAAAAGUGAUUCUGCAGUGCUUGAAUACUGUGGAAACACAGGGGCUGCAUAAAUUCUGUUAAGGAGAGACAACCAGCUUCUGCCUUGCCCAGCUUUAUUUUUGUCUCUACGUAGCUCUACAUCGCUUGAGACUGCUCAGCUUGUUCUGACUUUUGUAUGUCUGCUGGCUGUUGUAAACUGUCUCUUGAAUUUCCUGCUAUUAAAAAUCUGUGGAAAGUUAGGUGAGGUGUUGCUGUUGAUUCUUCUGAAGAUUUGACAUUCCUUGCAUGCCGCUCUGAGUUUGUCCCAAGUAUGUGAUAGGACUGCAUGAGGUUUGCAUGGACACUUCCAUCAGCAGGAUUCAGAGGGUUGGUUUGAAAUAUGGAAGCCAUAAAUGGCCGUGAUCAUAAAGUCUCCUUUAUUUAUUUAUUUAUUUUCUGAAGAAUAGGGGCCUAUGUUCUUAGUGACAAGGUGCUCAGGAUGUUGCAGAAUCAGAUAUUUUAUGUUUUUGUAUCCCAGAUGCUUUCAGUAUGUUUGCUCCAAGUUUCCAUCAAUGCAUGGUCACGGUCUGACCUGAAACAUGCCUCCUCUGAUUUCAGUGUGUGUGGGAUUUUCAGUGAAUUGUUUGUUUUCACACACACAACUGAAAUGCAUCCUCUUUUCAAGUAUGUUUGAGUAAUCCAUAGUGAUUAAGCAAAACAAAUAGGAAAGAAUGUGAUCUUGCUAUAUUCCACGAUUGUAAUGACCCCCCUCUUUGAAAUACAUCAGUUUUUUGUCAGAAGACUCAUGUCUGCAUAUGCACAGGGCAUUGCUGCAGACAGGAAAUGCCCUAGUCUGUUGACCUCGUCUCCCAGGGAAAAUGAAAGCUCUCAUUAAAUUUACAAAAAAAAACACCAAAACAACAACAACAACAACAAAAAAAAACAACAAGGAAACCAACUUGUCUUAGUUGGAGACAAAGGCAAUAUUUAGAUGCACAAAUGAACGUCUCCCUGUAGAAAAGAGAAAAUAGAAGUAACUAAUUCGAACUGCUGCAGGGGGAAUAAGUUGCUUUCUGGAGGCGCAGUGACCUGUGCGCAGCAUGAUCUUGGACUUGCUCAUACUCAUAGUGUAGGAGAAGACAUUCAGAGAGGAGGAAAACAACCAUUUUUCUUCCUGCUUCAGGACUGCUAUAGCGAAGUCUGUUUGAGACCUCAACUACAUCUCUAACACUGCUUGUCUCCUACAGAGGUUGGAAGGUAAUUUCAGUCUUCUUGAAGGUUGGGACAUUCAAGAUUACCUUCUGUAGCAGAGCUCUGGAGAACAGUUCUUGUUUGGAAGCAAUACAAUCAAACAAAAACCAAAGGAAAAUACAUCUAUUGUCACGCAGCUUGAGUAGUAUUUAAAAAAGAAA